rnacentral:rRNA from 1 species
AGCGGCGGACGGGUGAGUAACGCGUGGGUAACCUGCCUCAUACAGGGGGAUAACAGUUGGAAACGGCUGCUAAUACCGCAUAAGCGCACAGUACCGCAUGGUACGGUGUGAAAAACUCCGGUGGUAUGAGAUGGACCCGCGUCUGAUUAGGUAGUUGGUGGGGUAACGGCCUACCAAGCCGACGAUCAGUGGCCGACCUGAGAGGGUGACCGGCCACAUUGGGACUGAGACACGGCCCAA